UGGUGCUUGCACCGAGCGGAGGAGUUGCGAACGGGUGAGUAACGCGUAGGUAACCUGCCUCUUAGCGGGGGAUAACUAUUGGAAACGAUAGCUAAUACCGCAUAAAAGUCGACAUUGCAUGAUGUUGACUUGAAAGGUGCAACUGCAUCACUAAGAGAUGGACCUGCGUUGUAUUAGCUAGUUGGUGAGGUAACGGCUCACCAAGGCGACGAUACAUAGCCGACCUGAGAGGGUGAUCGGCCACACUGGGACUGAGACACGGCCCAGACUCCUACGGGAGGCAGCAGUAGGGAAUCUUCGGCAAUGGACGGAAGUCUGACCGAGCAACGCCGCGUGAGUGAAGAAGGUUUUCGGAUCGUAAAGCUCUGUUGUAAGAGAAGAACGAGUGUGAGAGUGGAAAGUUCACACUGUGACGGUAACUUACCAGAAAGGGACGGCUAACUACGUGCCAGCAGCCGCGGUAAUACGUAGGUCCCGAGCGUUAUCCGGAUUUAUUGGGCGUAAAGCGAGCGCAGGCGGUUAGAUAAGUCUGAAGUUAAAGGCUGUGGCUUAACCAUAGUACGCUUUGGAAACUGUUUAACUUGAGUGCAGAAGGGGAGAGUGGAAUUCCAUGUGUAGCGGUGAAAUGCGUAGAUAUAUGGAGGAACACCGGUGGCGAAAGCGGCUC
rnacentral:rRNA from 1 species